rnacentral:rRNA from 1 species
CCUACGGGGGGCAGCAGUGAGGAAUAUUGGUCAAUGGGCGGGAGCCUGAACCAGCCAAGUCGCGUGAGGGAAGACGGUCCUAUGGAUUGUAAACCUCUUUAGUCGGGGAGCAAUGCCGGGCACGCGUGCCCGGAGGGAGAGUACCCGCAGAACAAGCAUCGGCUAACUCCGUGCCAGCAGCCGCGGUAAUACGGAGGAUGCGAGCGUUAUCCGGAUUUAUGGGGUUUAAAGGGUGCGCAGGCGGCAUUUUAAGUCAGCGGUAAAAUGUCCGGGCUCAACCCGGGCCGGCCGUUGAAACUGGGGAUCUUGAGUGCGCGAGAAGUAUGCGGAAUGCGUGGUGUAGCGGUGAAAUGCAUAGAUAUCACGCAGAACUCCGAUUGCGAAGGCAGCAUACCGGCGCCCGACUGACGCUGAGGCACGAAAGCGUGGGGAUCGAACAGGAUUGGAUACCCCUGUAGUC